UAUUGCGGCUCAGUUGGUAGAGCACUGCACUAAAAACACAAAGCUUGUGGGUUCAAAUCCCAGGGAAAGCAAAAA